UGGGGAAUAUUGCACAAUGGGNNNAACCNUGAUGCAGCGACGCCGCGUGAGUGAAGAAGUAUUUCGGUAUGUAAAGCUCUAUCAGCAGGGAAGAAAAUGACGGUACCUGACUAAGAAGCCCCGGCUAACUACGU
rnacentral:rRNA from 1 species